CUUCCCGUCGUUCAAUGGUAGGACCCUCGGUUGUAGCCCGAGAGAUGUUGGUUCGAUUCCAACCGGGGAGA
rnacentral:tRNA from 1 species